rnacentral:rRNA from 1 species
CUAGUGGCGAACGGGUGAGUAACACGUGAGAAACCUGCCCUGGAGUGGGGAAUAACUCGGGGAAACCCGAGCUAAUACCGCAUACCCUCAGAUGGUCGCAUGGCCGACUGAGGAAAGAAUUUCGCUCUAGGAGGGUCUCGCGGCCUAUCAGCUAGUUGGUGGGGUAAUGGCCUACCAAGGCAGCGACGGGUAGCUGGUUUGAGAGAACGAUCAGCCACACUGGGACUGAGACACGGCCCAGACUCC